UGAGCUCACAGGGCUCGAAUCAGGGCUGAGCCGGGAACGAAAUCCAUCCCGCUCGAGUCCUAGGCUCCCACCCGCCUGCUUCGCCGCGGCUCGUUGCCACGCCUCUUCUAGCUUUUCCAUCUCCCUCUCCCCACCCCGCCUCAGAUCUUGUUUCUUCAGGGAGGUGAUGAGAAUUUCUGCCUCACGAGAUUGUUACGAGGGUGAAAUCUACGUGAUGGCGCGUCGGAAACAGUACUCCGCUAGGGAAAGGACCAGGGGGCCCUUGCAGGUCGGAGUGCUGCUGGGCGGCUGUGAAGGUCACGCCCCCUCCCUCUCCGCCCUCACGGCUCGGAAGUGAGAAAGGGCCUUAAGCUCUGUUCUGUCCUCGAAGUGAGGCUACUCCUGUGUGAGUUCAGUGAAUUCCAGCUUCAAAAGGAGAAAUCUCGGUAGGGGAUAGCUCUGAAGCUGGGUCACCAUUUUCAGCUGGAAGGACUUAAAAUGUGCUUUUAAGAUGUGGCCAUAUCCCGUUAUUUUUGUCUAAACACACAAAUUCAACAAGUAUUUAUUAUUAUUUACUUUCUCUCUGCGUUGGACAGAAGGGUGAGGGAGUUUUUUCCCUGAAGGUUUUUUCCUGUUCUUGAGCCGUGGGACUAUACUUAAUGAGUGGCUGUAUCUGGUGAGGCUGAUAAAAUGACCCAUUUUAUAUAAAGUGGUCAUGUAUGGAUGUUAGAGUUGGACUAUGAAGGAAGCUGAGCGCUGAAGAAUUGAUGCUUUUGAACUGUGGUGUUGGAGAAGACUCUUGAGAGUCCCUUGGACUGCAAGGAGAUCCAACCAGUCCAUUCUAAAGGAGAUCAGUCCUGGGUGUUCAUUGGAAGGACUGAUGCUAAAGCUGAAACUGCAAUACUUUGGCCACCUCAUGCGAAGAGUUGACUCAUUGGAAAAGACUCUGAUGCUGGGAGGGAUUGGGGGCAGGAGGAGAAGGGGACGACAGAGGAUAAGAUGGCCGGAUGGCAUCACCGACUUGAUGGACAUGAGUUUGAGUGAACUCCGGGAGUUGGUGAUGGACAGGGAGGCCUGGCGUGCUGCGAUGGUUGUAAAGAGUUGGACAUGACUGAGCGACUGAACUGAACUGAAUGUUUAUAAAGAUGUUGAAAAUCUUUUCAUGUGCUUAUUAUCCAUUUGUAUAUUUUCCUUGGCGAACUAUCUGAUCAUUUCCUUUGCCAAUUUUUGAAUUUAUUGUUGAGUUUUAGGAGUCCACCACAUAUCCUGGGUAAAGCCCUUCAUUAUGCAUGCGUGCUAAGUUGUGUCAGGUGUGUCUGUUUCUUUGUGACCCUGUGGACUGUAGCCCA
ensembl:lncRNA